GACGAACGCUGGCGGCGUGCUUAACACAUGCAAGUCGAACGAUGAAGCCUAGCUUGCUAGGUGGAUUAGUGGCGAACGGGUGAGUAAUACGUGAGUAACCUACCUUUAACUCUGGGAUAAGCCCGGGAAACUGGGUCUAAUACCGGAUACGACCAAUCUCCGCAUGGGGUGUUGGUGGAAAGCGUUAUGUAGUGGUUAUAGAUGGGCUCACGGCCUAUCAGCUUGUUGGUGAGGUAACGGCUCACCAAGGCGACGACGGGUAGCCGGCCUGAGAGGGUGACCGGCCACACUGGGACUGAGACACGGCCCAGACUCCUACGGGAGGCAGCAGUGGGGAAUAUUGCACAAUGGGCGCAAGCCUGAUGCAGCGACGCCGCGUGAGGGAUGACGGCCUUCGGGUUGUAAACCUCUGUUAGCAGGGAAGAAGAGAGAUUGACGGUACCUGCAGAGAAAACGCCGGCUAACUACGU
rnacentral:rRNA from 1 species